CUACAGUUAAGCUACACUUAAGGUUAAAUGAUUGUUAGGGCCGGCGAUGUUGUCCCCGGUCGCCACAUGGACACGGGGAGAAAGCGCUAACGAGAAAAGCGAGAGCGAGCGAUUUUUCUAGUUUUUUUUUAUUGUUUAGCUUACUAUAUAGUGAUAGAAGAACAUUAUUUUUCUGGAUCGAUGAUUGUUAUGUUGCAUUUAUAAGGCUAGAUUCCACUUUCAUUUCUUAUACCGGUCCCUAGCUCUCUUGCUCUGUAGGGCAGCAUAUAUACCACGGGGCGAUGGAACACAUCAUCGCUCCUAAGAAGGUACGGUAUCAUAGAGAUCUACGAACGCACAUUGCCAAUACUAUCACCAAUUUAUGUCACAUUUCAUUUCAUUUAUCUAAUAUAAAUACAAAUAUAUAUUGACGCAUCGAAAGGUUUGUGUCAAUCCGACGCAACAGGCAGGGGUCUACAGGUGCAACCCUGAACGUUAUCUUGUCCCACUAUUUAAUCAUUUCAUUAUAGAUUUAGAAUAAUUUAUUUUUAAAGAAAUAAAACUUUGAGCGCACAAUUAGUAAUCAAAACCAAAAGAGAACAAAAGCAACUUAAGAUUUAAGAACAACCGCAACGUAGGCGCAUGCAUGUGUUCCUUUCUGACGUGUGCUUGAAAGUAACACUAGGAUUUAAAGCUCAGUGUGUGGAGGAGACACACCGGCCGUUUGUACAACUCCAU
rnacentral:lncRNA from 1 species